rnacentral:misc_RNA from 1 species
UACGUAGGGGGCGAGCGUUGUCCGGAAUUAUUGGGCGUAAAGCGCGCGCAGGCGGUUCCUUAAGUCUGAUGUGAAAGCCCACGGCUUAACCGUGGAGGGUCAUUGGAAACUGGGGAACUUGAGUACAGAAGAGGAGAGUGGAAUUCCACGUGUAGCGGUGAAAUGCGUAGAUAUGUGGAGGAACACCAGUGGCGAAGGCGACUCUCUGGUCUGUAACUGACGCUGAGGCGCGAAAGCGUGGGGAGCGAACAGG